GGAACGGUGGCAGAGUCUGGCUUAAUGCACUGGUCUUGAAAACCAGAGGGUCUAAACAGCCCCGUGGGUUCGAAUCCCACCCGUUCCGCCA
rnacentral:tRNA from 2 species